rnacentral:rRNA from 1 species
UACGUAGGGGGCAAGCGUUGUCCGGAAUUAUUGGGCGUAAAGAGCUCGUAGGCGGCUUGUUGCGUCGUCCGUGAAAACCUGUGGCUCAACUACAGGCUUGCGGUCGAUACGGGCGGGCUGGAGUUCGGUAGGGGAGACUGGAAUUCCUGGUGUAGCGGUGAAAUGCGUAGAGAUCGGGAGGAACACCAGUGGCGAAGGCGACUACCUGGCCUGUUUCUUGACGCUGAGGCGCGAAAGCUAGGGGAGCAAACGGG